GUAAACUUUUGCACAGCGAAGUAUAUUCACUGCCAUUGAAAAGGAGUGCAUAGCGGUGGUGUGGGCCCUCAAAAAGCUGCAACCUACUUGUAUGGACAACCGUUUACCUUACUCACAGAUCACAACAAAUUUGGGGCACUGCGCGUGCAAUCUAAUGUGCCACCAGAUAGGAGUGGUGUGUUUAGUACUAUUGUUAUCAGUUUAAUCACUGUUACGCCCCCUAUCCGUUGAUGUGGAGCAAGACGCAGCAGCAGAAGAGGACUAAGCCGAGGAGGUUAUGGAAGAGGAUGGAGUAGGAG